CUGAAGCAUGUCAGACAGAAGUUAGCCGAAGCCUGUAGAAGCUCAUCGGACUGAAAAUGUAAAUCAUCGGUAAUGACUUGCAAAACGUUAGUCUAUCAAUGAGAUGAUCCACUUCGACUUAUGCAAGUGUGACUAUGUACAAUAAACAACCGGAUCAGGUGGAAAGGUUGUUGACCGACUAGUGUAUGAUCGAAGAAAUUUUCAAAACCCAUCGUUUGACCCAUAAUUUUAGAGCUGAUGAGGCAAAUAAUCUGGACCAAUAAGGUCAGUAACUUAUUUGAGUAAUUCUAAUAUUUAUUGCAAAUCCAACUAUUUUUGAUGACUAAUGAUUUGUAUUCAA